CGUACACUCCUACGGGAGGCAGCAGUGGGGAAUUUUGGACAAUGGGCGAAAGCCUGAUCCAGCCAUGCCGCGUGCAGGAUGAAGGCCUUCGGGUUGUAAACUGCUUUUGUACAGAACGAAACGGCCUUUUCUAAUAAAGAGGGCUAAUGACGGUACCGUAAGAAUAAGCACCGGCUAACUACGUGCCAGCAGCCGCGGUAAUACGUAGGGUGCAAGCGUUAAUCGGAAUUACUGGGCGUAAAGCGUGCGCAGGCGGUUAUGUAAGACAGUUGUGAAAUCCCCGGGCUCAACCUGGGAACUGCAUCUGUGACUGCAUAGCUAGAGUACGGUAGAGGGGGAUGGAAUUCCGCGUGUAGCAGUGAAAUGCGUAGAUAUGCGGAGGAACACCGAUGGCGAAGGCAAUCCCCUGGACCUGUACUGACGCUCAUGCACGAAAGCGUGGGGAGCAAACAGGAUUAGAAACCCCGGUAGUCCCAUGA
rnacentral:rRNA from 1 species